rnacentral:rRNA from 1 species
AUGGCGGAUGCAAGGAUCAAGUUCGCACAACCAGAUGAGAAUUCACCUUUUGGAUGUCACUUGAAGGAAGCCACUAGAUACCUGAACAUAGGAGUACCAAGCUUCACCAGGACUUUCAACGCCACUUUACCCGAAGAGGAGCGCUGGAUGAUUCAAGUCUACAUUCCAGGAAGGACAUUUGCACCAGUCACGGAGCCAAUAGAGUUUACCUUUGAUGUACCAACAUGGAGCCUAGGAAAAAGCAUGGCAGCUCACAUCGCCAUGGGACGAAUUGGAGAAGUUUACUACAACGAUCUUAAGAAUACUAUCUACCAGAUUUGUGGGCGCCGAGAUGAGCAUUGGGAGAUGAUCACCACCAGGAAGGACCGAUCAAUCGCAGCUUAUAUUCAGGAGUUAAACCAACACAUCCGACGCCAGGAGAAUCAGAUGUGCGCAGAUAUGGAGGAACUACAGAAGGCUAUGACCAGGAUCAAGGAGCUAGAAGCAGAACUCAAGGCUACAUGUAAGGACUAUAUGGAAGAAAUCGUCGCUCUAGUAAGAUAG